ensembl:lncRNA
UAAAGCCUAACUCAUAUAUAUCCAGAUUACCAUCUAUGUUCUUCCUCCAAACCCAUUUUAUGAUUGGGAUUACAGGCAGUUCUUUAGGACUGCUCUCAAAUAAUUGAAAUGUUACUAAACAAGGUUAUACUUAUCAAAUUAAAUAGCUCUGGUCUCCAGUAUAUUGGCGAAUUCGGUUCUUUGUACUUAAUUUAUUAGCAUGAUUUCUUUUUAAUAUGUUGUGUACAGAUGUAAUUACUUCUCUGUCUACUUUUCUUACUCCCUGUAGGUUUCCCAGAGACUAUGGAUUGAGGAGGAAUUGGAAGUUUGUCGGCUUAGACCUGGUGUCAUUCCAUCAGUGUUUAACUUCCCGGCUCAUCUUGGAAGAGUACGUGCCAGAAAGACCACGACCAAGCAGCCUUGAGAUCUUAGACAGCGUCUCCCUGAGGUCCCUCUCUAUCUCCCCACACAUCCACCAACCACUGGAACACAUCUCCAAAGUUCUGCAGGGCCAGCUCAGCUUCCCCUCAGAAGAAGUGCCGCCACCUGCCAGAUGAAGGAGCCUUUUGAGAGGCAGCUGGCAUCGUGAUUGGACUGUACUUUGGUCUGUUCCAAUCCAGCUUCAGCUCCAAGAGAUUGCAGGCGGGACGAGUCAACGGAGGCCGGGUGGACGAAGGCAUGCAGCUGAGUACAAUCCAGAAAACAACAGAAGAGGAGUGCAGCAGCCCAGGGCCAGAACAAACAGAGUAGCAUGGUAUGUCUCUUAGAAAACAUCAUAGUAUAGCCUUUGGUAUGAAAAAAACGCCAUCAUAUACAUCGUAUAUUGUACAAAUAACAAGUCAAAGGAAAGAGACAUACAUUGUAGAAUUGUAGUAAUUGUGGGCUGACUGAUUUACUGAUUAUCAGUAUUUUAUUUUUUACUAAUUUAUGGUAAUAAAUACAUUUAAAAAUGGCGCUACUUUGGCUCUGAACCUUUAUCUACCUGUGGUCGCUCUGUCUUCUGGAGUGAUUUGAUUGGUUAUACGUAAGGAAUACAACUCCUUUACCUUAACAUCUGUAAACAAAACAAAAACGUAUCAACAAAGUUUUCUGUUAGAGUUUGUGUUCUUCUAAAUUUAACUCAAGAUUUUAAAUACUUUCAUCUACUGCAAAUGAAUAUCUAAUCCAAAUGUCUCACUAAUAGUCAUUAUCAGCUUUAAAAACCCACAAAAUACCCCUCUAUACUCCACCACACUUAGUACAGUCU